rnacentral:lncRNA from 1 species
CAGCUGGGCUUUUUAAUAUUUUGGUUUAGUUAAUUAUUGAAAUUCAUAUUCCUGUCUUAAGAACCAGUUUCAAUGACUUUGUUUGAAUGUUCAAAUAUUUGUGCAGGGUGGUAUGCGAGUUUAAAUUUUUGAGCAUGACACAUCACCACCAGGUAUCUGUAUGCUCUAAACCUUCUGUAUAUAUUUCUCAACUUUUGAUGAGCUUACAAAGCAUGGACUGUGUAUUUUGAUUGCUGCAUGUUUAUACUCUUUCUUCCUUUGUUUUAAAGCAUGGACUCUGUAUUCUAAUUGAUGCAUGUUUCUACUCUUUCUUCCAUGUGCAAAGGAAGGAUUAUAAGCCAAUAUUCAUAAAAUAACCAUUCCAUAGUCAGAUUAUAAGUUAUAAAGUUUAAGUAAAUAGAUUUCACAAUAAUUUGUAUGCAACCGUAACUGCAAUUGUGGGAAAUAAAUUAGGAUAAAUAUCAUCUCAACCAUAACUGCCAUUGGAUUAAUUAUAGUCAGAUUAUAAGUUAUAAAGUUCAAUUUAAUGGUAAUUACGUCAUUUUUUUAUUUUUGUUAAAUCAAGUUUUUUUUUUAUGUUCGAGUUUUGUGUUGUGAAUUUGAUAUUCGCAAAUGAAAUGGCAGAUGCCGUGAUUUUUUAGUUUUUUUUUCCCUAAUACACACUAUAUCACUUUGCUUUGGUUUCAUUUUUUGUUUGAAUUUUUAAUUUGCAUUGAUUGUGUGAAUAGACUUAAAAGUAUAUAUGUACUUGAAUUAUGCAAUGCAGUGUACUGUAUGAACUAUUUUUAUUAUCAUAGUAAUUAUUCACCGUUGAAUGAUUAUGUAUAUUUAGUAAAGAUGCAAAUAUUCACAAGCUUACUGGGUUCAGUUUCCCUAUUUUGAAAAACUUGAAAUCCAAUAGCCAAUGUUUCUAGUUGAAGAUAUAGGGAACAUUAUGGUUUUAAACAUAGAAAUUUGCCAAAAUCACAAAUAUGACAAAAGUUUAUUUUUUUUUUUUAUGUUUGAGUUUUGUGUUGUGAAUUUGAUAAAAGUUUAUUUCUGUUAACCAUUGUUUCUCUCACAUGGUUGGAAAUUAACAAGCAAUUUUUUUCCCUUUUCCAUGUAUUCAUUUGCAGAUUUGAUCAAUGUGUUUGAAGUUUCUUUUUCCUCAACUUCACUUGUAUUCUAACCCAUCCACUAUUGAAUGGAGAAUGGAGAAGCUACUGCUAUGUUAACGUAAUUGCACUACUUAUGUUCAAAGAGUGGAGGCAAUCAUCCUUUUCAUUUUAGCUUCUAGAAAUGUUAAAUUUAGCCACAACUAGUAGGCAUCUGAUUGGAUGUGGAAAAUUUUUUUAUGUAUUUAAUUUAGAUUAUUCAGUUACGAAGAGUGGGAUUUCUCAUCUCUUGUUUGUUGGAGUGUUGGAAUUUGUAAUGUGUACUAAUAAUAUUUAAAUAUGAAAUGAAAGAUUUUAUAAUAUAAAUUAAGUUUUUUUGGUUA